GCCUGGAUAGCUCAGUUGGUUAGAGCAUGGUACUGAUAAUGCCAAGGCUGCAAGUUUGAUCCCUGUUUGGGGCA